GGCUGCGUAGCUCAGUUGGUGAGAGCGCACGACUCAUAAUCGUGAGGUCGACAGUUCGAGUCUGUCCGCAGCUA
rnacentral:tRNA from 1 species